rnacentral:rRNA from 1 species
AGAGCCCUACGGGACGCAGCAGUAGGGAAUCUUCCACAAUGGGCGAAAGCCUGAUGGAGCAACGCCGCGUGGGGGAAGAAGGUCUUCGGAUCGUAAAACCCUGUUGUUAGAGAAGAAAGUGCGUGAGAGUAACUGUUCACGUUUCGACGGAAUCUAAACAGAAAGCCACGGCUAACUACGUGCCAGCAGCCGCGGUAAUACGUAGGUGGCAAGCGUUAUCCGGAUUUAUUGGGCGUAAAGGGAACGCAGGUGGUCUUUUAAGACUGAUGUGAAA